CGGAGCGUGGCGCAGUCUGGUAGCGCACUUGUAUGGGGUGCAAGGGGUCCCGAGUUCGAAUCUCGGCGCUCCGACCA
rnacentral:tRNA from 1 species